ACAAUAUUUAAAUAAACUAUUUUAUCCAUUUGCUGCAGGAACAUAAUCUUCAACAACUGUAGUAUCUGGUGGAAUUCUCAGAAGACACUGGGUUAAUUUGAAUAUACGUGUAGAUUUUGCAAAUCAAAUUUACAUUAAAUAUUAGUUUGUGAGAUGGAAGAG